rnacentral:lncRNA from 1 species
CGGGGGACGCCCUGCGUGCCGGGCGGGCUGCCGGGAUCAGUCAGAUCCCGCUCCCCUCCGCUCUCCCCGGCUCUCCCCCGCUCCCCUCCGCUCUCCCCGGCUCUACCCCGCUCCCCUCCGCUCUCCCCGGCUCUCCCCCGCUCCCCUCCGCUCUCCCCGGCUCUACCCCGCUCCUCCCCGGCUCUCCCCCGCUCCCCUCCGCUCUCCCCGGCUCUCCCCCGCUCCCCGCCCGCGGUGCCUCCGCUGACUCAGAGCGGCACCGCCGCCGCCGCCGCUUCGCACGCGAUGCCGCCGGGUCCCCUCAUCCCCCGCGUCCUCCCGGCUCCCUCCCUCGUCCUGCGGAGGACAAGGGCUCCGCAGCCCCGCAGGGGAUGCUCGGGGAGGCGGGAGUCGGGCAGGAGUGGCUGGAGGAAGGGAGGAGAGGUUUCACGGCCAUAAUCCCAUUCUGUGGUGAGGCUGGGACAGGCCUCAUUGUCUCUUGCAUUUCCCUGCGGUGCCUGAUGUUACAAGCCCUGCUGGUGAAGGAUUUCUCCAUUUGGAGUGGAGCACAGCCCCUCCCAGAUCUGUUGCUGAGAUGCCUCUUGUGA